ACACUACUGAUGAGUCCCACAAUAGGACAAAACGGCCGUCCAGUGC
rnacentral:hammerhead_ribozyme from 1 species